CUAAUGGAAGUUUUCAUGUGAGUGUACAAAGAGAUGAUCUUGGAGUCUGGGAUACAGUCCAGGGAAGGAAUAUCCAUUUCAAGGACCAAGGAAUGGCCCCUUAGGUAAAGGAUCCCAGAAAAGGGCCAGGCAAGGUGAUGUGCACCUGUAACUCCAGCACUGCUCGGCAGGGGCAAAAGGAUUCAGGAGGCAUGCCAGAUGGCCAGUCUAGCUGAAAUGCAGCACGUCUGCCUGCACAUUAUGAUGCUUCCCACCAUGAUGACAAUGGACUAAAACCUCUGAAACUGUA